rnacentral:misc_RNA from 1 species
AAGUCGUAACAAGGUUUCCGUAGGUGAACCUGCGGAAGGAUCAUUAUCAACGUAUCCACGUUUCUACCAACCGUGAACCUAUCUUGCCUCUGGCUGGAGCAGUGAGUGGGAAUGGGUUAAGUGACACUGGCGUUGAACGAUUUUUUCGUUCUGGGACUCUCUUUACUUGUGCAUUUGAAGAGUACCGUUCAGUGUUGCUUGCCUGUUUUCCUCGAUUCAAUUCGUACUGCACUGGCCAGAGCGUAUGCUCAAAUCCCGCACUCGUUUUUUACCAUUUUAACAAAACUUCUGAUUGUUGAACUGACUUGUAUUUCAUUCUCUCUUCGGAGAGAAGAAAUCGAAAAUUACGAAACAAAAAACAACUCUUAGCAACGGAUAUCUUGGUUCUCGUAACGAUGAAGAACGCAG